rnacentral:rRNA from 1 species
CAGAGGGGGCAAGCGUUGUUCGGAAUUACUGGGCGUAAAGGGCGCGUAGGCGGCCUCUUAAGUCGAACGUGAAAUCCCCGGGCUCAACCCGGGAACUGCGUCCGAUACUGGGAGGCUUGAAUCCGGGAGAGGGAUGUGGAAUUCCAGGUGUAGCGGUGAAAUGCGUAGAUAUCUGGAGGAACACCGGUGGCGAAGGCGGCAUCCUGGACCGGCACUGACGCUGAGGCGCGAAAGCUAGGGGAGCAAACGGGAUUAGAUACCCCGGUAGUCCUAGCCCUAAACGAUGAAUGCUUGGUGUGGCGGGUAUCGAUCCCUGCCGUGCCGAAGCUAACGCAUUAAGCAUUCCGCCUGGGGAGUACGGUCGCAAGGCUG